AUCCAGGACUCCUGAGAUCAAGUCCAGCAUAUUUUCUUCUAGAGCUCAUCAUCUCUGUAUUCUUCCAGGAAGAAGGAGCUUCCUACUCUUUGAGGCACCCAAGUGUAUAAUAAAACAGUUUGCCAAUUGGAAACCUGAAUGGUUUCUAACCAUGGAAAGAUCUGACCAUAUCUCUGCCUGGCUUCAAAUCCUUCAAAGUCUCCUCAUUACCCACAGGAUCUGUGGAGUGUAGGCAAAUUCUGUGACACACAGCUGAAGGGAGUCGAAGCAUCUGGACCACAUCUCACUGAGAAAGAAUGUGUCCAUCUCAGAAUGUUGAUGCUUUCAGACACUGAAUCCACAUUAAGCAGCUCUGACCAUGCCUCACCACCCCGCAACUCAGAACAUAUCAGGGAAGAGGAUGUGACUACUGGGCAUCCAGUGGGUAGAUGAAAAGGAUGCUGCUAAACAUCUGCAAUCCACAGGAUGACCAUCCACGAUGAAGAAUUAUCUGGCCCCAAAUCUCAACAGUGCCAAGGAUACAAAGCCCUGCUCUGAAACACAAGAGUUACUAAGUAGCUUUUGUUUUGUUCCUUUUCCUUCAUUCUCUACAAUCUUCCAAAAUACCUCCCAUGUGCCAGAUGCCACAGGAGCAUCAAAAAAAGUGCAGCAACAUGAGGCUGACUAAGACAUACUCCCUGUCCUCAAAGAACUUACACUUCCCUUUUUUAUGUAGCUGGCACACCAGC